rnacentral:rRNA from 1 species
AUCCACUAGUAACGGCCCGCCACAGGUGUCUGGAAUUCGGCUUGCUUAAAGGGGCCGUAGCCGGCCUUGUAAGUCCUCCCUUAAACGGCGUGGCUCAACCACGCCGCUGGGGAGGAUACUGCAAGGCUAGGGAGCGGGAGAGGCGAGGGGUACUCGGGAGGUAGUGGCAAAAUACGAUAAUCUCCCGAGGACCACCAGUGGCGGAGGCGCCUCGCUAGAACGCGUCCGACGGUGAGGGACGAAAGCUGGGGGAGCAAAAGGGAUUAGAGACCCCUGUAGUCCCAGCUGUAAACGAUGCGGGCUAAAUGUUGGGCGAGGUUAGGCCUCGCUCAGUGUUGCAGGGAAGCCGUUAAGCCCGCCGCUUGGGGAGUACGGUCGCAAGACUGAAACUUAAAGGAAUUGGCGGGGGAGUACCACAAGGGGUGGAGGCUGCGGUUCAAUUGGAGUCAACGCCGGAAACCUUACCAGGGGCGACAGCAGGAUGAAGGUCAGGCUGAAGACCUUACUAGACGAGCUGAGAGGAGGUGCAUGGCCGUCGCCGGCUCGUGCCAUGAGGUGUCCGGUUAAGUCCGGCAACGAGCGAGACCCCCGCGCCCAUUUGCUAAGGCGGCUCUAUGAGCCACCUGCACUAUGGGCGGACUGCCGGCGCAAGCCGGAGGAAGGAGGGGGCUACGGCAGGUACGCAUGCCCCUAAAAGCCGAAUUCUGCAGA